rnacentral:tRNA from 1 species
GUCCCUGUAGCACAGUGGAUAGCGCGUUGGACUUCUAAUCCAAAGGUUGUCUGUUCGAAUCUGACCGGGGAUG